rnacentral:rRNA from 1 species
UACGGAGGGGGCGAGCGUUAUUCGGAAUUAUUGGGCGUAAAGGGCGCGUAGGCGGUCACGCACGUCCGUUGUGAAAUCGCUCGGCUCAACUGGGCGGGGUCAGCGGAUACGGCGUGGCUGGAGCAAGCUAGGGGGCAAUGGAAUUCCCGGUGUAGUGGUGAAAUGCGUAGAUAUCGGGAGGAACACCAGUGGCGAAGGCGACUACCUGGCCUGGUCCUGACGCUCAGGUGCGACAGCUAGGGGAGCGAACGGG